UAAUCAUGUCGGUCGAAACCUAGCCUUCCUGGAGCCAGAGCUCUAUGGGUGGGAACCGUACUCAGAGAAACAGAGAGACAUGGUGUUUCAGAGCCCUCACCUGUGGCAGACGAUGAGACUUCAAGUUCGCUCCGAAGUUCCCUAAACAUACUAUGUCCACUGUCAUCAAUCCGAAUCCGAAGAUCAACGGCCGUGAUUCUUCCUUCUCAGGCGACGAUGGUCACCCCACAAGCCAAUAAGAUCAAUGUUGGUUUCGAGCUUUCCAAUGGAUUCCCACCCUCCCAAAAGCCAAUAGGAGCCACAAACCCUUAGACCAUUCUGGGAAGUCUGUAAAUAAUGAAUCGUCGAUGAGGACCCGGAUUCGGGUAAGGCUCAGUGGGUGAAACAUCGGGGAGAUCUUUGUUUGGGGAAUUGGAGGGGGAGAACUCUGGCGUCGAUGAGCCUACGGUCGUUGACGGUGUGACAGUUUUCUUUCAUGGGAAAGAUGAUUCUUAGAAAAUAUUACGAAUUUAAAUGUAGGGGGGUUAACGAUUUAACGGCAAAUUUGUUUAAUCAGAGCCCCGCAGAUUAAGUCUAAAAAAAAAGGGUCGAAUCAGAAAUUGAAUAUGAAUGUUGGGAGCUCGCAUUCCAAUUCAAACGUGUCCGGUAUGAACUUCGAUGGCUCAGUUUCUAAUGCAAACGGGUUUGAUUCCAGUUCUCCUAAUAUGAAUACGGUUACAAACCGGUUUGAUUCAAAUAUUUAUUUCGUCAAUUCAAAUUCAAAUGGGUUGAAUUCGAAUUAUACCGUGCUUGAUUCCAAUUUUCAUGGUAAAAUUUCCAAUAUUAACGGGUUGUUGGAUUCGAAAAUUGUUGGUAUAAACCGAAAUUCAAAUAAGUUGAAAUCCGAUUUUGUAGAACAAAAUGAGGAUCUUGAUGAUGAUGAUGAUGAUGGCUGGGAAUUGAAGGGCGCAGAUGCGGAAAAACAGCUUGACGGAAGAUGGACCGAACAUCUUAAAGAAGCUGGACAGACAUUUUGAUAUGGCAGUACCGAUCAUGGUUCUAUUGAUGUGUCCAUUCCAUCAGCCACUUCUCAAGGAACUGAUGAAUGGAAGGCAUUUGACUUCAAACCAAGUUUUUUUAUUCAAGAUGAUCUUUCCUCUGAUUCGUACUCUAAAAGCAAGAAUAUUGAAACUGAUACUGGAUCAAAUGUCUCUGAAGUUGUUAUAACUGUUGAUUCUGAUGUAAAGUUUUGGCACUUUAAGGAUGCAUUUUCGGAAGCUCAAGUAAAGCCAAAUAUGGUCAGUCAGCUGCAUUUAGAUUCCUUUUUUCUUUUGUCGUUUGUUGAGUUUGUGUUUUUAUAAGUUUAACUUUUGGUUGUCGGAAAUAGCAAAGGUUGCGUCUCCUGCUUCUUUGGUGGGACACACAAUAGAUGGUGAUGGUGCUUGUGGUCCUAAUGAUGUUUUUACUGCAUCUGAGCGGUUUUUAAUGAAUCUGGGGAUUAAAACUUUGCAUUUACUUUCAACCCAAGUUCUGUCACUGAAGAUGGUAUUAUUUCAGGUUCUAAUUCUAGAGAAAGAAACAAGAUAUUGCAGGAAUAACUUCUUCUCCAGGUGAUGAGCCUGAUGACGAUGUUUGGGAAAAUGCUUCCUUCAAGUGAAACAACGCAAUGAAACUGUUUGACUUAAUUUGAUAUUUACUCAAAAUUCAAGUUUUGUAAAUAGGGAGAAGCGUUGAUUGCUCACAGUCCUCCAGCCAAUGUUAUUCCCACAUGCAUUUGACAGAGAAAUUUCAGUGGAAUAAUGUAAAAUUGGAGAAUAAUUGGAAAGCCUUGCCCCUAUCCAUUUUUUGGCGAUGAAGGACUGGAAAUGGAUGAUUCCUCAAUCCAUCAAGAUGUUUUUCCACAUAAACCUUCAUUGUAGCCAAUAAAUAGUAUCAAAUCUGCUGGUUCUGGUUUAUCUGUUAGUGACCUCAUAUCAAGUUUAUACAGUCAAGUUGAGCCAAACACUUCUGAGAAUCAUACCCCAAAAGUAAAUGGAAAUGGGAUUUAUUCUUCCAUAAGAGGAGUGGAGCUUGAUCUUCUCAAUCAGGAUGAUGAUUUUGAUGAUGAUUCCUGGGAAUUUAAGGAUGCCUCUGCAAAUGCUACAGCCCAGAACCAAACUUAUGUAGCCUGUGUUCAAGAUUCACCAUAUACUAAAUUACAGUUAAAUGAUUGUCAAUUGUGUGGAGUUGUAUCACAAGUUGAAUGAUGAAUCAUGCUUCGUUGCAUUGGGCCAUCUUGGAAAUCUAAAGAAAGCUCAAAGUAGUGCUGCUCUUUCUGGUGAAGAAGCAAAAGCAAAAGCUCUUGGUGAGGAAUUCCAGAAACUCUAUAAUCAACCUUGCCAAGAUAAUAUGAUCUCCAAAGAAUUGCAGUUGGAGAAUCUUUCAUCAAGAAAUACAUGCCUCAGUGAACUUCUUGAAGUUCUCCAGUAACCAAAGUUCAAAGUUCUUGAGUCAGAAUUUCAGUUUUCAAAACAAUUUUUAUUGGUACUCAUUUGCAUUGGUAAGAUGAGGAGCCAUGAAACUACAUGUUUUACCAUGCAACAUGCUUCCACGUUUAUGUGGUGAAUUAGCAUCCCAAUGGAACUUGGGAGAUUUUUCAGUUGGCUUCAGAGAUUUUUAUCACCUUGUUUACGGCAACUUGUUUAUUUCCUCUAAUUUUAGCUCAAUCCUCUCUCUUUGUAAAACAGACACACACGUAUAUAUAUAUUGUAAAUGGAGAUAAACAAUUUCGGGACGUCGUACUGCAACCUUACUGCUUUCUCGAAAAAUGGAAAUGCUGAUUGCUUCGUCAACAAAGUUGCAGAGAGUCUGAAAGACGAACCAUGUUCGCGUGCAAGUGAGAUUCCUUGUAUCAGCCUUGUAUGGUUCUCAAACUCCCUGGAUUACCAGACGCUGCUGGACAAAUGCAACAUAGAUAUCAAUACCACAAAAGAAGCCGCAAUGUUGCCAACUUGCAUACCAAAACUGACUGAGGCGCUUUUGAUUGAAGAUUACACUGAGACUAAGAUUCCGCUUAAUCCAAAGUAUACUAGAAUUGGGGUCGGCUCCCAAGAUCAAUGGAUGGUUGUGGUUGUUACCAGUUGUAGUUUCAAUGGAAGCUUUUCUAAUGAAUCUGCACUCUCUUUUGCUUCGCUUGCUUCAUUUGCUUGAUUGAAUCUUUGGUGGGGUGGAUCUUCAUUGCUUUGCUUAACAGCUGAAAUGUUGUUCGCUUUUGAUUCAUUUUGCUGGGUGUUUGUAAUCGUGUUGCUUUUAAAUGUUUUCUUAUACAAGGGUAUGCACUUAUCCGUUUAUGGAAAUACGAUUAGGGACUUUUUUUUUGGCUCA